GGGAGAGGCCACAACAGUGAGAGGCCCGCGUACUGCAAAAAAAACCAGAAGAUCAUCUCAUGGCCAACAUCGCACUGGCAGGGGAAGGGAAAGUUUCAGGGACUCAAGAUUCCCUGUUCGACCUAUAACCACAGUUCACCUCAUGACCCACUGCAGCUUUCUUCCUUCUGGUGUCCUCAACUCCAAACCAGUUGCAACCGAGUCCAUUUAAAAUGCUGCAGCUGUGACCCUCCUGAUGGUCCAGUGGCUAAGACUCGGCACUCCCAAUGCAGGGGGCCUGGGUUCGAUCCCUGGUCAGGGAACUAGAUCCCACAUGCCAGCAGCUAAGAACUCGCAUGCCACACCCAGCCUGCCACAACUAAAAAGAUCCCACACGUGGCAACGAAGACCCCACGUGCCGCAACUAAGACCCUGCGCAACCAAAUAAAUAAAUAAUUAAUUAAAAUAAAAUAAAAUGCUGCAGCCAAGAGUCUCUUUACCACUUCCCUGCCAGACUCUGCCUUCGUGGGGGUUUCUUUGGUACAGGACCAGGAGCCUUACCACUUCUAGGUCCUUGGUGCAGCAUGCUGGAUGACCUCACUGCCCUUGAGUCCAUCCAGAAACCUAGUACCCCAGCAUCAUUCCCCCACCUCAGGACAUUUCUCCAAAGCUUACUUCUUGACAAGAGCUGAGCCCCAAUGCCACCCUGAUUCCCCACAUGUCUCCUGGCAUCAGUCAUUAAUCCCAAAUCCACACAGAUAGUCUUUUGCUCCUUGACCUAACAAUGACAUUGACUCCCUAGUGCCUGUGUCUCUGACAUUCUCACGAGCUGCCCAAGGAAAGUGCUUUCCCCCACCCUUGUGUGACCUUCUUCACAUUGGCCUUUGAUGCCCCCAAAGGGCAACACAGAGAAGUGGUUUUGCUGUUUCACACCCCAGAAGAUGGAGGAUCAGAUCUAAGAAGUCUUUCCCCACUAGGAGGCUAAAUGCAGAGAUGACCCUGACAACCAGAAACAGAAUUUUCACCCCAAAACUCGGCUUUGCAGGACAGCUGAGCCACUGAAUGGGUCACAAGGACUGAGCAGGACUGAAGACAGCUGUCAUUUGUACAGUUUUCAAUCAGCAUUUGGAGAUUGUGACUGUGUCUGGCCUGCAACCCCGUGUUUGUAAGAAGUCUCCUACACCUCCAGGCAGCGCAUCUGCAUUUCAGGAAAGGAGAACGGAAAAUGCAAAUCAUGACCUACUGAGUCAGCCCCUUUAUAAAGAAUGUUCCCCAAAGCCUCACCAGAAAAUGUGCUCUUACAUUUCAUAGGCCAGACUAUUUCACCUGCCCACAUCUGACCGCAGAGGUUGAAGUCAAGGUUUUAGAGGGCUUUCCAGAACAAAACUGAGGUUUAGUUAGUAAAAAGUCUAAUUGUUGUUGGGUCAGCCAACAGCAGUAUCUGCCCCAAGAAUUUAGCCUAUUUCCCCAUUUUAUUCCUUCCCACUUUGAAAGAUGAGUAGUCAGAGCCUCUGGGAAUAGCUCAAAGCUCAAGGGACCAACUCUGACCCAUCUGGGAAGUAAAGGACUUAGGGGAUGAAGUCAAGAACAGAGGAACCACUGAGAGCAAACAGAGAAAGCAGAGCCAACUCCUGCUUCCCUUGGGAAAGGAUGCUUCAUAAAGGCACCCGGAGGACCUCCAGCUGGUCUGGUAGAGUGGGGGGGCUGGAAGUGGGAGAGAUCAAGUUGAAGACUGAAAUAGAAACAGCUGGUGGCUGUGUUUGCUGGCCGGUAGGGGAUCGUUUGUGCACAUUCAGUGGAAAAGUUCAAUUUGAUCCAUGCACAUGCAGAAAUCAUUGCCUCCUUCACUUUUUAAGCACUUGGAAUUAUUCUUUUCCCAUUUAAGAUUUACAUUCACUAGGGCUACACAUGGCUGUCAGCCUGAACUUGUAGAACUACCACACUCGGUCCACAAGCAUACGGUGCUUACUUACCACCCAUCACUCUAGGAGUUUCAUUUUUUGUGGGUUAUCACAGACUUCUUCCUGGUAACCAUGGGCUGAGCACAUUGCUGGUUAUAUUAUUGUCUUCAUAACGACUUUCACAUGCAUCCCCUGGCUUCAACUAUCACCUGUAAGCUUAUCCAAUGUGGCCUAGGACCUGACUAUGUGCCAGACCCUGGCUGAGCACUGGAAAUGUCACAAUGAAUAAGACACAGUCUCCAUUCUGAAAGAUGAUACGGGAAACCUCACCCACCCUAGUGGGUACAGGUGGGAGAAACCUUCCCUGAGGAAGAAACAUUGAUCUGAGUCUAGGAUGGCUGAGUAGAAAAAAGAUUGAGAAUGGGUGCUAAUAAAAUUGCACAAGAUUUCUAUGCAAAACUAGUAUCUCUCUAUCGAAGGGCAUAAAAAUGGCAUGAAUAAAUGGAGGGACACAUCAUGUCCAUGGGUGAGAAGAUUCAACAUUAUAAAGUUGUCAGUUCUUCUACUUAUAUAUGUAUUUACUACAUAUGUAUGGUACAUGAUACAUAAAAAUGGUAUCAUACUGCACAUAUACAGUUUAACUUGGUUAUUUUCGGUCAAUAUUAGGUUUUUGUGAUGUAUUCAUGUUGAUAAAUGUAGAUCUAGUCUAUUAGUUUUAACUAUUGAAUUGAGUUCCACUAUAUAAGUAAGCCAGUAUAUUGAUUAUUUCCCUACUGAGAGACAGUUAUUUUGUUUCCUUUUGUUUGUUUUGUUUUGCUUUGCUUCUUUCCAUUUCCAGAAAAACAGUGUUUCAGGCACAGUGAAGGGUAUAUGUAAAGACCAGAGCAAGAAAGGGGUCAGCUGCAUGUAGUUGAGUAGGCCUGGAAAAACAUAGUGAGAGAUGAGUAACAAGAGGUAAAACUGGAAACAUAGUUGGGGACUAGUUCACAAAAGGUCUUAUGUGUCCUGAACUCCCAUAUGUACCUGUAUUUGGCCCAGGACUUGUCUCUAAGACUUGAUUAGGCAAACUUCCAAGGGACAGUCCCCCAGGAUUGCAUUUGGGUAUCUCACGUUGAACAGAUCUGGAAGAAAAUUCAUCAUCUUGCCCUUAAAUGCCCUCCUCCUCCAGUUUUUCUUUUUCUUCUUUUUUUUUAACUAAGCCAAGGUACCCACAUCCACUGAACAUCCAAGCAGAAAUAUCUACCAUCUGUGUGUGACCACUCCAUCCCACAGUCCCUACACCCAGUCAAUUGAACAAGCCUGAAAAAGGUUUCAAAUAUAAUUCCUGCCACUGUCCUUGUUGAAUUCAAGUUGUUAGUCUUUUACCUAGAUUACUGCUAUCCAUGCAUCUUAAACCCUUCCAAGUUAAUGAUAAUUGUCCCAACAAGGCCUACUUCAAAAUUAUAUCUGUGGGACUUCCCUGAUGGCACAGUGGUUAAGAAUCCUCCUGCCAAUGCAGAGGACACGGGUUCAA